GAUGAACGCUGGCGGCGUGCCUAAUACAUGCAAGUCGAGCGAACAGAUAAGGAGCUUGCUCCUUUGACGUUAGCGGCGGACGGGUGAGUAACACGUGGAUAACCUACCUAUAAGACUGGGAUAACUUCGGGAAACCGGAGCUAAUACCGGAUAACAUAUUGAACCGCAUGGUUCAAUAGUGAAAGGCGGCUUUGCUGUCACUUAUAGAUGGAUCCGCGCCGUAUUAGCUAGUUGGUAAGGUAACGGCUUACCAAGGCAACGAUACGUAGCCGACCUGAGAGGGUGAUCGGCCACACUGGAACUGAGACACGGUCCAGACUCCUACGGGAGGCAGCAGUAGGGAAUCUUCCGCAAUGGGCGAAAGCCUGACGGAGCAACGCCGCGUGAGUGAUGAAGGUCUUCGGAUCGUANAACUCUGUUAUCAGGGAAGAACAAAUGUGUAAGUAACUGUGCACAUCUUGACGGUACCUGAUCAGAAAGCCACGGCUAACUACGUGCCAGCAGCCGCGGUAAUACGUAGGUGGCAAGCGUUAUCCGGAAUUAUGGGCGUAAAGCGCGCGUAGGCGGUUUUUUAGUCUGAUGUGAAAGCCCACGGCUCAACCGUGGAGGGUCAUUGGAAACUGGAAAACUUGAGUGCAGAAGAGGAAAGUGGAAUUCCAUGUGUAGCGGUGAAAUGCGCAGAGAUAUGGAGGAACACCAGUGGUGAAGGCGACUUUCUGGUCUGUAACUGACGCUGAUGUGCGAAAGCGUGGGGAUCAAACAGGAUUAGAUACCCUGGUAGUCCACGCCGUAAACGAUGAGUGCUAAGUGUUAGGGGGUUUCCGCCCCUUAGUGCUGCAGCUAACGCAUUAAGCACUCCGCCUGGGGAGUACGACCGCAAGGUUGAAACUCAAAGGAAUUGACGGGGACCCGCACAAGCGGUGGAGCAUGUGGUUUAAUUCGAAGCAACGCGAAGAACCUUACCAAAUCUUGACAUCCUUUGACCACUCUAGAGAUAGAGUUUUCCCCUUCGGGGGACAAAGUGACAGGUGGUGCAUGGUUGUCGUCAGCUCGUGUCGUGAGAUGUUGGGUUAAGUCCCGCAACGAGCGCAACCCUUAAGCUUAGUUGCCAUCAUUAAGUUGGGCACUCUAAGUUGACUGCCGGUGACAAACCGGAGGAAGGUGGGGAUGACGUCAAAUCAUCAUGCCCCUUAUGAUUUGGGCUACACACGUGCUACAAUGGACAAUACAAAGGGCAGCUAAACCGCGAGGUCAAGCAAAUCCCAUAAAGUUGUUCUCAGUUCGGAUUGUAGUCUGCAACUCGACUACAUGAAGCUGGAAUCGCUAGUAAUCGUAGAUCAGCAUGCUACGGUGAAUACGUUCCCGGGUCU
rnacentral:rRNA from 1 species